UCGAUGAUAGGGGCGAAGUCGUAACAAGGCAUCCGUAGCGGAAGCUGUGGAUGGAUCCACUCCUUUCUAGGGAGUA
rnacentral:rRNA from 1 species